GGCUUCUCUGCGCGUGCGCCUCCUCACACGCCUGCAGUUCACCACCACCGUGGUCUCCUGCUGUCCCGCGGAGCUGCAGACUGAAGGGAGCAACGGCAAGAAAGAAGUGCUGAGCGGUUUCCAAGUGGUGCUGGAAGACACAGUGCUUUUCCCUGAGGGCGGGGGACAGCCUGAUGACCGUGGUACAAUCAAUGACAUCUCUGUGCUGAGAGUGACUCGCCGUGGGGAACAGGCUGAUCAUUUCACCCAGACACCCCUGGAUCCAGGAAGCCAGGUUCUGGUCCGGGUAGAUUGGGAGCGGAGGUUUGACCACAUGCAGCAGCAUUCAGGGCAGCAUCUCAUCACGGCAGUUGCUGACCAUCUAUUUAAGCUGAAGACAACAUCAUGAGCAAGUAGCUGCCAUUGAGCAGAGCGUCAAUGAAAAAAUCAGAGAUCGGCUGCCUGUGAAUGUCCGAGAACUGAGCCUGGAUGAUCCUGA
rnacentral:lncRNA from 1 species